rnacentral:rRNA from 1 species
UACGGGGGGGGCAAGCGUUGUUCGGAAUUACUGGGCGUAAAGGGCUCGUAGGCGGCCAACUAAGUCAGACGUGAAAUCCCUCGGCUUAACCGGGGAACUGCGUCUGAUACUGGAUGGCUAGAGGUUGGGAGAGGGAUGCGGAAUUCCAGGUGUAGCGGUGAAAUGCGCAGAUAUCGGGAGGAACACCAGUAGCGAAGGCGGCUCGCUGGGCCAUUCCUGACGCUGAGACGCGAAAGCUAGGGGAGCGAACAGG